GCGUCUGCCGAUCACACGGCUUUGUUGUGGAGCAUAGAGACUGGCAAAUGUCUUGUCAAAUAUGCUGGCCAUGUAGGCUCAGUAAAUUCUAUAAAAUUUCAUCCCUCAGAGCAGUUGGCUCUUACUGUAU